rnacentral:rRNA from 1 species
CGGUGGAGCAUGUGGUUAAUUCGACGCAACGCGAAGAACCUUACCUGGGCUCGAACGGCUUCGGCAAGCCGGUAGAAAUACUGGCCCUCCAGCAAUGGAUCGGAGUCGAGGUGCUGCAUGGCUGUCGUCAGCUCGUGUCGUGAGAUGUUGGGUUAAGUCCCGCAACGAGCGCAACCCUUGUCCUGUGUUGCCAUCAUUAAGUUGGGCACUCUCAGGAGACCGCCAGCGAUAAGCUGGAGGAAGGUGGGAUGACGUCAAGUCAUCAUGGCCUUUAUGUCCAGGGCUACACACGUGCUACAAUGACCGGUACAAUACGACGCCAACCCGCGAGGGGGAGCAAAUCGUAAAAAACCGGCCUCAGUUCGGAUUGCAGGCUGCAACUCGCCUGCAUGAAGCUGGAAUCGCUAGUAAUGGCAGAUCAGCAUGCUGCCGUGAAUACGUUCCCGGGCCUU